UACGGGGGGGGCGAGCGUUGUCCGGAUUUACUGGGCGUAAAGGGCGCGUAGGCGGCCACCGCAAGUCGACUGUGAAAUCUCCGGGCUUAACCCGGAAAGGUCAGCCGAUACUGCGGGGCUAGAGUGCAGAAGGGGCAACUGGAAUUCUCGGUGUAGCGGUGAAAUGCGUAGAUAUCGAGAGGAACACCUGCGGCGAAGGCGGGUUGCUGGGCUGACACUGACGCUGAGGCGCGAAAGCUAGGGGAGCGAACGGG
rnacentral:rRNA from 1 species